GGGUGUAUAGCUCAGAGGGUAGAGCAUUGAGCUUUUAACUCAGCGGUCGCAGGUUCAAGUCCUGCUGCACCCA
rnacentral:tRNA from 1 species